GUGCUCACUUCGGCAGCACAUAUCCUAAAACUGGAAGAUACAGAGAAGAUUAGCAUGUCCCCUGCCAAAGGAUGACACACAAAUUUGUGAAGUAUUCCAUAUUUUA
rnacentral:snRNA from 1 species